rnacentral:lncRNA from 1 species
GUUCAAGGCAGAAGGCCGUGCGUCAGGGCGGCCCUCAGCGGAGAUGCGUGCACGGAGCGGGGAGCGCCGCUCGGGGCAGGGAAUGAAAGCGGCGCUUGAGACUGGAAAUUUAGGGAGAUGAGUUCCUUGGGAACAACGCUGAACCAUCUCACUGCCCCACCCUACCCCUUGUUAUUUUUUUUUGAGACAGGUCUCGCGCUGUCGUCCAGUCUGAGUGCAGUGACGCGAUCACGGCUCACUGCAGCCUCGACCUCCGGGGCUUACGGGUCAUCCCACCUCAGCCCUCUAAGUAGCUGGCACCACGGGCAUGCACCACCACACCCGGCUAAUUUUUUAAAAAAAGUUUUUCCGGAGAUAGGGUCUCGCUGUGUUACCCAGGCUGGUCUCGAACCCCUGGCCUGAAGCGAUCCUCCCGCCUCGGCCUCCCAAAGUGCUGGGAUUACAGGCGUGAGCCACUGCGCUCGGCUUUUCACCCCUUUCUAACGUUUUCCAUCCCUUUCUAACGUUUUCCAUACCCAGCGGUGCCCUGCCCACCCUCUCUUUAUCUCUCACUUUUCCCUCCUCUGUUUCUUCCUCGCUGAAGUCCAUUGGUGAAAGAAAAUUCAUGUGAAAGUUCUCAGGAGUCGUCCUUGUCUACUCCACUACCAAAUGUUGAAGUUCUUCAAGAAUCAGUCCUUUGGAGGGCAUUUAAGGAAAUCUGUUUCUCUUUUGGAUCACUAGCUGCAAAUUAAGCUAACAGAACAGGAGCUCAGCUGGUCACACACAGCAACGAAUACAGACUUUAUAAAGUUCAGAAAAGUUACCAAACAGUGGUAACCAUAACAAGUACCAACAAUGAACUAUGGGGAGGGAGGAGAAUCUGAUUUCCAGAGUUACCACAUUAUAAUACUAUUCAAAAUGUCACAUUUUUAGCAAAGAUUACAUGACAAGGAAAAACCAGAAAAGUAUGGCCCAUACACAGGUAAAAAAAGAAAUUAAUAGAAACUACCCCUGAAGAAGCACAGACUUCGGAUGUACAAAACAAAGACUUUUCAUCAACUCUUUUAGAUAUGCUAGAAGAGCUAAAGGAAACCAUGGACAGAGAACAAAAAAAUUAGGAAAGCAAUGUCUCAUCCAAUACAGAAUAUCAAUAAAGAGAUUGAAAUUGUAGAAAAGAACCAAAUAGAAAUUCUGGAGUUGAAAAGUAUUAUAACUAAAACUGAAAAUUCACUAGAGGUAUUCAGCAGCAGACUGGAGAAGUCAGAAGAAAGAAUCAACAGGCUUCAAGAUAGGUCAAUUAAGAUUAUACAGUCUGAGGAGCAGAAAGGAAAAAGAAUGAAGAAAAAUGAACAGAGCAUAAAAGACCUCUGGGACUCUAUCAAGCAUACCAGUAUAUGCAUGAGGGGAGUCCCAGAAGGAGAAGAAAGAGAGAAAGGGACAUAAUAUUUGAAGAAAUAAUGGUAGAAAAUGUCCCAGCUUUGAUGAAAUACAUGAAUCUAGAUAUUCAAGAGGCUCAAAGAACCCUAAAUAGGGUAAACUCAAAAAGACCCACACCGGAAUGCAAAAGUGAGCUGGGUGUGGUGGCACGUGCCUGUGGUCCCAGCUACUCGAGAGGCUAAGGCAGGAAAAUCGCUUGAACCCAGGAGGCAGAGAUUGCGGUGAGCCGGGAUUGCGCCAGUGCACUCCAGCUGGGCGACAGAGCGAGAUUCCAUCUCGAAAAAAAAAAAAAAAAAAAAAAAAAACUAUUGCUGCAGUCAUUCAGAUGGAAAUGGGGAAAGAAUAAUAUUAACUGAUUUCAAAAAGGACUUGAAGAUGUGAAUCAUCUAUUUUGCUGAAGAAAUCUUAACUCUUUGAAAUUACUUUUUGUUGCUGUUGUCAUACUCUUAGGUGCCAAACUGCGGUAAAUUUUUUAUCAGUGAAGUGGAAGCAUGUGUUUUGUUGUUUUGGGAAUUUUUAUCAAGUAUCUUCAGAGAAGAUUAUUUCCUGCUUUAUCUUCAAAAACUGGAAAGGAAGGGUCAAAGAAAAGACAGUAGCUGGCCGGUCAUGGUGGCUCAUGCCUGUAAUCCCAACACUUUGGGAGGCUGAGGUGGGCAGAUCACCUGAGGUUGGGAGUUCGAGGCCAGCCUGACCAACGUGGAGAAAUGCCAUCUCUACUAAAGAUGCAAGGAUUGGCCGGGCGUGGUGGUGCGUGCCUGUGAUCCCAGCUGCUCAGGAGGCUGAGGCAGGAGAAUCGCUUGGACCUGGGAGGUGGAGGUUGCGGUGAGCUGAGAUCACGCCAUUGCACUCCAGCCUGGGCAACAAGCGAAACUCUGUCUCAAAAAAAAAGAAAAGACAGUAGCUUAUGUUCAUGUCAAGCACCUCUCAUCACAGUCUAGUUCCAAGGAAAAAAUUCCCAGCGUUUUCUACAUUCGGUGCUGCGUCAUCUGAAAUCGGCACAUUCCAUGGAGGAAGGAGUCCUGCUUUGUUGCAUGUAUCCUAGGGUUUAAUGUUGGUAAAUGAGUCACUCUAGCAUUUGUAGAAGGCUCCCUGAGACUCCUGCAGCAGUCGACCAAGCCCAAGGACAUAAUUGAAUCUGGAGAGUCCUGGGGCCUUGUUUUGAAAAAGACUUGAAAUACACAUAGGAAGAAAGGCAUAAAAAUAAAUGUUCACUUGUCUCUGCUGUGAGUAUGUGUUCCAACUUUUCAGUGAUGGCUUUGAGAAUUCUCAAACUUGACUGGCUCUAAGUGUAUCUGGUGGCUUUUGUAUCGUAACCUGAAACUGGCUUAGUACUUUUUCCUAAAAGCUCAGGAUUUGAGAAUGAGGACCCCUUCGCCAGGAAAACAUGUAUACACUCAAAAUUUUGCUUGCAGUUCUAGGGUGUUUAGACCUUUCUCAGAUACCUGUGCAUCUUAUGGGUUUUGUUUUUCUCUUUGAGACAGUCUCACCCUGUUGCCCAGGCUGGAGUGCAGUGGCAUGGUCUCAGCUCAUUGCAGCCUCCGCCUCCUGGGUUCAGGUGGUUCUGCCUCAGCCCCUUGAUCGGCUGGGAUUGCAUGCAUGUGCCACCAUGCCCGGCUCAUUUUUGUAUUUUUAGUGGAGAUGGAGACAGAGUUUCACCAUGUUGGCCGGGCUGGUCUUGGGCUCCUGACCUCAGGUGAUCCGCAAGCCUGGGCCUCCCGGGGUGCUGGGAUUACACGCGUGGGCAACUGCGCCCAGCCCUUGUGUACCUUAUGUGAGGAAGUCCUGCUCAAUCAGGAUCGGUCACGCAGGCCCUGAUCUUGCUACUCUGGUUCCAUGUCCUAUGGAAGACCAAAGUUUACCAAGAUAGAUUUUUCCCUUCAUAGUGGCAGAUACUGUUAACCCCUGCACCAUCUAUAACUCAGAAAUCCCCACCAUUUCUUCCCCUGGGCUUCAGAAUAGAAUUGCCUGGUUUCUCUGAUGAUCAGCACACUUCCUUAAAACCCAAAUCAGCAAGGAAUGAACAAUUUUGUUUGGCAUGGAUGAAAUUAGCACUGUUUGGCUCGGUAGGCCCCAGACAGGCAGGCACCUUAAUUUUUUCCUUGCAUAUUCUAGUCUUCAGAAGCAUUGCCUUUUGUCCUACUGGUAGUGACAUAGAUCAAUAACAGGGCAUCUGGGGAUUUUAAUCCUGAAAACAGUGAGUCUGAUACUGCUUGUGUUUUUCAUCAGUGUCCACCCCGAGUGGGUCUUCCUGCUAUUCUCUUCACUUAGUUGCCCCUCACUUGCCAUCUGAGCAAUUGGCAAGGAUGUGCCAGGCCUAGGUUAAACUUGGAAACAUGCUUGACCAUUCUAUUCCCUGGUCCUUUAAGAUCAGUUUGGCUGCAAUUUUGGCUCCUUGGACCCUCAAGCAUAGCUGGUAAAUCAAGUUAGAGAUGUAACUGCCUUAAAACGUGCCAGCUUAGGCUGGGCGCGGUGGCUCACGCCUGUAGUCCCAGCACUUCGGGAGGCUGGGGCAGGCGGAUCACCUGAGGUCAGGAGUUCGGGACCGGCCUGACCAACGUGGAGAAAUUCUGUCCCUACUAAAAAUGCAAAAUUGGCCGGGUGUGGUGGUGCAUGCCUGUAAUCCCAGCUACUUGGGAGGCUGAGGCAAGAGAAUUGCUUGAACCCAGGGAGGCGGAGGUUGCAGUGAGCCGAGAUCACGCCAUUGCAUUCCAGCUUGGGCAACAAAAGCAAAACUCUGUCUCAAAAAAAAAAAAAAGUGCCAGCGUAUGAGGUAAUUAGAUUGGUUCUCUCCAGAGGUAACCUGCCAAGAAGAGAUGCUAUAGAUGUUACUCAUAUACUGUAAAACAUUGUGAAAUCAGAUUACUUUAAAAUGAUGUAUUACAAAGUUUUGCAAAAAAGCAGUUGUGACUGUGGAAGCCCAAGGCUUAUAUCCCAGCUCUGUCUUACACUAAAUAUGGGUAGAGUGUUUCCACUCUGUCCAUAAAAUGGGAGCUAAUAUUCUCCAACCUGUGUGCCUGACAUGAUGGUUAAAAGGAUUAAACAAAACAAUAGUUUGUAAUUUAUUCUGUCAGAGCACACUGCUGGUAAAUAAAAGGGAGUAAGUUGACUAAAACUAAAUUUAAAAAAAAAUCCUAAUAAAACAAGUUUGUAAUUUAUAAUUGUAUACAAAUAAAAGAUGUUACAAAAAAAAAAAAGACCCACACCAAGACACAUCAUAAUUAAACCGUCAAAAGUCAAUGACAAUCCUGCAAGCAGCAAGAGAGAAGCAAUUCCUCACGUACAAAGGAUUCUCAAUAAGAUUAAUAGCUGACUUCUCAUUAGAAACCACAGAGGCCAGGAGGCAGAGGCAGUGGGAUGAUAUAUUCGAAGUGCUGAAAGAAAAAACUGUCAAGAAUUCUGUGUCCAGCAAAACUAUCCUUCAAAAAAAAAAAAAAAAAGUGAAGGAGAAAUUAAGACAUUCACAGAUAAGCAAAAACAGAAAGAGUAUCUCACUAGUAGUCCUGCCUUACAAGAAAUACUAAAAGGAUCCUUCAGCCUGAAAUGAAAAGACACUAGACAGUGAUUCAGAUCCACAUGAGGAAAUAAAAAACACUGAAAAAGAUUUAAAUACAUAGGUAGAUAUAAAUGAAAGCAAUAAUUAUAUCUGUGUCAAAGCACAAUGUAUAAAGGUGAUUCAUGAUGAGGAAAAGAUGAAGUAUAGGAGCAAAAAUUUUGUGUACUAUUGAAACUAAGUUGGUAUUUAUUUGAAAUAGAUUGUUAUAAAUGAAAGUUAAUUGUAAUCCCUAGAGCAACUACUAAGAAAAUAACUAAAAAUUUUGGAAAGGGAAUAAAAAUGGUAUGCUAGAAAAUAUCUAAUACAAAAAAGGCAUAAGGGAGGAAUUGAGGAAGACAUAGGGAAAACAAAUAGCAAGGGGCAAUGUCCUUCCUACUAAUUACAUUAAAUGUGAAUGCCUUAAAUUCCAU